UCCUUUUUUCUUAUUCACAUUUUUUGGCCAACUCAGACCACCCAAUAAGCGCUUGCGACUAGGCGAAGACUUAGAUAUCGUCUCAUGAUACAUUUCCAUUCCUCGGAUACACCGAAAAGUUGAUUCUCCGAUAACAAGAGAUCAUUUGAAUAAUCUAUGGUACUUUGUUGAAGUCAUCCUUCUAAAUCUUCCCGUUUGAUGAACGCUGGUGACUAAGCGAAAAUUCAGAUGUGAUCUCCUAAUACAUUUUCAUUUCUCGGAAGUGGCGAGAAAAUCGAUUGGAUGAUCUAUCUUACUUGAUUUUUGUAGAUUCAAUUGAAGAAGUUCUUCUUUUCUACAACUGGUUUAAGUAUUUCCAAAUGCAUGAAAUGAUCAUCAAUUUAAGCAUAAGUGGAUCAAGCGAAAUUCUUAGAAGAGUUUCAAUACUCUUCCUUCAAAGGUAUUCACAAGUUCUCUUCUAGUUUACCACUUGAGAUUAUGAAAUAAUAAAGUGACACAAGCAUAUACAUAAUAAGGUGCCUACCUUUGUUAAUUCUCUUGAAUCUUAUGUAGGCUUCUCUUCCCUUCAAAAUAAUGUGAUUGGUCUUGAAUGAAAAUUCAAAAAAAAUAGACGAAAAACAAAUAUGAUCAAAUAACUCAAAAUUCAAAAAUGUUUUUAAGAAAGUGGACUUUGCAGAACUCACUACACGAACUGCAUUUUGAGCAGAAAUUGCAUUAUGAAAAUGCACAAAUCCGCAACAGUAUCCAUCCUACAUUCACAAAUUUUUCUAUUGAGAUGCAUUAUCGUGAACAAGAAAAAGGUUUGAGCAAAUGAUAAAAUAAGAGUAACCAGGAACAAUGUAAAACAAAUAUCCCUCAUAAGUUUUGAGCUAAACAUCGCGACUGUAAACUGGUCCAAACUGUUUAACAUUGGCGUGGAGGUCACUUCUUGUCAUGUUGGUUGACAAUCCUCCAAUGUAUAUCGAUUUGACUAUAAACGUGUAAACAAACAAUUCAGAAAACUGUCAAACAUGGUAAAAUUUCCUCAACUAUUAGAUUUUAGACAAUGCAAAUUUACAUUUGAUUUCCUCAUUGGAAUUUUCUUGUUGAAGCACUGGUUGAAGGAGCUGCAGCUUUGGACACGCCACUCAAGCUAGACGUCAGCGCCUUAACUAAGCCGUCAUUGGCUUAAGGUUUUUAGGUGCUGAUGGGAGACCAGCAUUUGCAACAACUCACACAAUAUUGUAUGGGGCAUUCGUAGGCGGUGAGGACCUGCCCUACUUCAUCUAUAGGAAACAUUUCGAAUUAGGCAAAGCAUUAGAUGUAAGAAACUCUAAGAAAAACUUUAUAAUCUUCCUAUAACUGGCAUCUGAACCAAACGACCCCUGAAUUUAUAACUAACCGUUGAAGCGUAACUAACUUUAGGUCUCAUUCUCAAUGAAUGGAGUUGUCUUAACAAUAAAUUUUUCCUUUUGCUCGGAGUGAUUAAAGUCUUCUUUUCAACUUGAUCAUCAUUUGUCACCUUAGUAUCUGAUUUAUAAGAAACUUCCUUGAAAUUAGCUUUGAUGUCAUCUUCAGCUUUGCUUUUAGUAGCUAUUCCUUAAUGCAAUAGUAAUUCCAAAAGGGGGAAAAAGUUACACUAAGGAGCACCUCGAGAAAAGCGACCAGAGGUAUACAAAACAUACUGUCAUGUCCUCAACGAAGGCCACCGCCACCCUUUCCACCACCACUCUGAACCGUUGUUCAUACCGUUGCAACAACUCUAACGACACCUUACAUAUCACCACCAUCACCACUAACACCACCGUUAGCUCCUCCUCUUUCUGUUGUCUAUGUUUCUUAGUGGUGAUGUGGAAGGCGUCGUUAUAGUUGUAGCAACGGUAUGAACAGCGGUUUGGAGUGGUGGUAGAAAGGGUGGAGGUGGCCUCCGACAUGACGUUAUGUUUUGUAUACCUCUAGUUGGUUUUCUCGAGGUGCUCCUUAGUGUAACUUAUCUUAUUCUUUUCCCUUUUGGAAUUACUAUUGCAUUCAGAACUAGCAACUGAAAACAAAGGUGAAGAUAAUUUCAAAUCUGAUGUCAAGGAAGUUUCUAAAAACCAGAUACUAAGGUGAUAAAUGAUGAUCAAGUUGUCAAGAAGCCUUCAAUCACUCCGAGCAAAAAAGAAAAAUCAGUUGUUGAGACAGCUUCCGUCGUUGAGAAUGGGACUCCUAAAGUUAGUUAUGCUUCAAUGGUUAGUUAUAACUUCAGGGAUCACUUGGUUCAGAUGCUAGUUAUACGGAGAUUAUAAAGUUUUUCUUAGAGUUUCUUACAUCUAAAGAUUUGCCUAAUUCGAAAUUCUUCCUAUAGAUGAAGUAGGGCAAGUCCUCACCGCCUUGGAAAUCCCCAUACAAUAUUGUAUAAACUGCUGCAGAUGUUGGUCUCCCAUCAACACCUUAAUAAACCUCAAGCCAAUAGCGGCUUAGUUAAGGCGCUGACCUCUAGUUCGAGUGGUGUGUCGAAAGAUGCAUCUCCUUCAACCAGUGCUACAACAAGAUAAUUCUAACGAGGAAAUCGAAAUGUAAAUUUGCAUUGUCUUAAAUCAAAUAGUUGAGGAAAUUUAUCAUGUUUUACCGUUUUCUGAAUUGUUUGUUUACACGUUUACAUGCAAACCAAUAUACAUUGGAGGAUUGCCAACCAACACAACAAGAAGUGACCUCCACGUUAUUGUCAAACAGUUUUGACCAAUUCACAGUCAUGAUGUUCAACUCAAAACUAUAGUUUGUUUUUCAUUGUUGUUGGUUAUUGUUAGUUUAUCAUUUGCUCAAACAUUUUUCUUGUUUACAAUUACGCAUCUCAAUAAAAAAAGUUGUGAAUGUAGGAUGGAUAAUGAUGUGGAUUUGUGCAUUUUCAGGAUGCAAUUUCUGCUCAAAAGCAGUUCAUGUAAUGAGUUCUGCAAAGUCCUCUUUCUUCAAAACAUUUCCGAAAUUUGAGUUAUUUGAUCAAAUUUUGAUGUUUGUCUAUUUUUUUUUGAAUUUUCAUUCUAGACCCAUCACAUUAUUGCGAAGGGGAAAGAAGCCUACAUAAGGUUCAAGAUAAUUAACAGAGGUACCGACUUAUGUAUUCGUGUGUCACUUUAUUCUGACAAACUCUACAAUGGCCCACAAAGUUGAGCAAUCCAGUAGAAGAGGCCGAUGAGAACUGUGAUCUGGCCACCUAGAGCAAUCUAAAGGUAACAGCAGGGUUCACGUGACCACCGGAGAUGUUAGCGGCAAUUGAAACUCGCACAAACAAAGCAAAUCCAUGGCAAACUGCAACAGCUACAAGCCCGAACGGAUCAAGAGCAGCAUCAGCUGUCAACUUGUCUGCAUCCAAUACAAUACAAAAUUUAGAACCAUAUAAUCCCCAAAAAGCUAAAUAGACCAGUUAGUAAUCCACAGGGGACCUGUUGUUUAACUUUGUUAUUUUACUUUGUAAGACUCUGACCUCAUGAAACAUUUUAACAAGGUAAUUAUUAUAAUGUUUAGGCAAAUGGUCAACCAUCUAUUAGAUGAUUGUAAAACUUUUACCCACAAAGGUUAAUUUUCGCGCCUCUCCAAUGCCAUCAGAAUAAAGCUUGGAACUUGAAAAAUUAAUGAUUGA